GGAACCCUGGGAGUUGUAGUCCCGGAGGCCGCGCGGAGAAUGGCCGCGCCGGGCCUGCCGCCCUACAACUCCCAGGGUUCC